GCGGCCCUCCCAGGGCCUUUAUUUUCUGCUCCUUUCUGUGGGAUUCUCUGAGCAUCAGUGGUGGGUCCUCGGGACAUGCCCCCCAGGGGCAGGCUGGCCGGGAGGGUACAGGGACCGGGUGACUUCGGGACUUCUGAGCCUCUUGAUUUUCUGAUGCGUUCUUAAAACUAGAAUAAUACCAGAAUGCCCAGAGCAGUAACUGAGCCCCUGCAGAGGGGGCUGGAGGCUGGGCCGGCCACAAGUGGGCCGGGAGCCCUGUGGCCAUAGGGCCUUGCGGCCGUGGUCGGCGCCGCCCGGCUCUUAGACUCUGGUGUCGGCUGAGGAGUGUGCCGGGCUAGCUGUGUUUGCAGGACCACCAGGUUCGCCCCACAUAGAGCGACAGUGAAAGACUCUCCUCGGAAUUAGGAGUGAUGUUCUGGGCUAGACUGUUUACGAUUCUUGGUCAGGAACAGAGCCGUCUGGGCCAGGAGGGACGCAGAGUCCCGCUGCCCCUAAAGGGCAGGUCUGGGGGGCCAGGGAGCUCGGCUCCGGGCAGUCAGCGUCCAAGGGAAGGUGGCUUGCUCCUCCUCCAUGUGUGAUUACUACACAUGCAAGGACAGGGUAUCUUUGAGGUGGCUCCUGAGAAAAACAGUGGAGAAAACUGUGACUUUAAAAUGUCAGAGAUUUUUGAGUAUAUUAGACUUUUUAAUUGUAUCGGGCAAUUAACAACCCAGAAUCAUGUCUUUCUGGAGUUGAUCCAAGAAAUAGUACCCCGGUGCUGUCAACCCCCCGCCAGAGCUGAGUUUUGAUGGUGAGAAACUAAGCUUAAUUUUGUAUUUAAUUCAGCGAUUCUAGAAGUGGCGGUGCUGAGGUAGCUGAGGCGCGGUGAGUGGCCAGGCACCUGCAGGUGGCAGGAAGCAGGUCGCAGGGACUGGCUAUUUUAGGAAGCAAGAAAACACACUUGGCAAAUUUAUAGUUUGUGGUUAGCAGAAGUGGUUUUCGGUGGUUUUGCCCAGCCCCGCGAGGCUGAACACAGCCAUGGUGCAAAACAACACCUGUGCAAUUUGCGUUUCUAAAAUAAGGCCAAAACGCUGGCAGGAGCCCAGACGCUUCCUUUUUUAACCAUCUGAAUUUACUUUUUCGGUCUUAGCUCACCAACAUCUGAAUUAUACUCAUUUCCAAAGUAAGACGUUUAAGAAAUUAAACUGGUCUCGGGGACAGUUUACAACGUGUUCGUGUAAGGCUUUUUUAAUUAGUUGUAUCCGCAAACGGUUGUUAACCUCAAACCACCUUCCAGCGUCCCGAAACACGGUUUUUUGCAAUCGCUGCGUUCGCAGUAUUCUAAGUUGGACGAUUUUCUCUUCGUGCUGAAGAGGCACGUAGAUAUUCUGAAAAAGUUUGCAGACCUCUUUUCAAGCAUUCCUGUGGGGACAGGUUUUAGGUGAAACGUGUGUGAUUGUCCAGAAUGAGUUCAGUAAAGCGUGUCGCUUGUUGGACUAAGAGGAAGUCCAGUCAGGUCUCGACUCAGAAAAGAACUCUGCCGGGCCCCCGGGCUGACGGAGCCCCAGUGGAGGGCCCGCCUGGCCCCCGGCCCCCCGUGGCUUCUGCCACCCAGCCAUCCGGCUAUGCUUCGACCAGCCGACUUUAAUGGAUUCGGAGGAAUUCUUCAAAGACCCCCACGGUGACCAGGGAGACAAGCUGACACCGAGACGCCGCAUCUGUUCCCCUUGGUCUCAGGAUGUGAGGCCCCGAAUGAAGGUGACCUCAUAGGCCUGGCCUGCUUGGCACAAGGACCCUCCAUAGAGUCGGUGCAGGUCAGCUCAAGCCCGGAGGCGCAGGACCAGAGGCAGAAGACUCACCUGAUCGUGCUGGGGACGCGAGGGCACACUCAGCUGUCCGUCCUGAUGGCCAACUGGAAGCCGGGCCUGCACCACUGCAACGCAAACGUCAAUGGGGCCACCAACAGCCACCCCAAGCUGCACAAGGCCAUCCAGUGGCCAGCGUCCUGGGAAGUGAGGACCUCCCGGUCGACUCGCAGGCCGUCCUUACCAGAGGACUCCACCAAAGCCCCCAGCACUGCCAGGGUCCCAGACUGCGGGAACCACACCCACCCUCCCAGCAUCUCCUGCACGCUGAGCCAGCCCAGCAUGCCUUCCCAGGUGGCAUCCACAGCACCAGCAGAGCACGCUGCCACGGCGCCCUGCUGCCUCGCCGUCCGUGCCCUGACCGUGCCCCAAGCGGCCUCCUGGCUCCUGUGUGAGGUGUCUGGCUUCUCGCCCCCAGACAUCCUCCUCACCUGGCUCAAGGGCCAGACGGAGGUGGACCCUGCUGGGUUUGCCACUGCACGCCCCACGGCCCAGCCUGGGAACAGCACGUUCCGGACCUGGAGCGUCCUGCGUGUCCUCGCCGCCCAGGGCCCUGGCCCGGGCACCUACACGUGUGUGGUCAGGCACAACGCAUCCCGGAAGCUGCUCAACACCAGCUGGAGCCUGGACACUGGUCUUGCCAUGACCCUCCCACCCCCCCAGAGCCAGGACGAGAGCGGCAGAGACUCCACAGACCUGGAGGAUGCCAACAGACUGUGGCCCACGUUCGCAGCCCUCUUCCUCCUCACUCUGCUCUACAGCGGCUUUGUCACCUUCAUCAAGGUGAAGUGACCCCGGGACAGUAGACGCCCAGCACCUGCAGAGAAAGGAGGCUCAGCCUCAUGCUGUCGCCGAGGGCAGAGGGGACCACCCUGGACUCCAGCCCCAUCUCUGCCCCCCCAGCCCACCUCAGUCCACCUCUAUCCAGAGCUCAGCCGCCACACCCAGAGAGGAGGGCGUCACACCCUGCAGUUCCCUGAGCCAGCAGUCCUUACUGCAGCCCCUUGCUUUUUUGCCUGCCAGCCGGCCCCAUAAACAA